GGCUGGGACUACAGGCAUCCGCCACCACGCCCGGCUAAUUUUUUUUUGUAUUUUUAGUAGAGACGGGGUUUCACUGUGUUUUUAGUAGAGACGGGGUUUCACUGUGUUUUUAGUAGAGACAGGGUUUCACUGUGUGAGCUAGGAUGGUCUUCAUCUCCUGACCUCAUGAUCCGCCCGCCUUGGCCUCCCAAAGUGCUGGGAUUACAGGCGUGAGCCACCGCGCCCGGCCUAUAAUUUUUUUUUUAACUCAUUCACUGUUGUUGGCAGAAUUUAGUUUCUUCCUGUUAUAAGGAUUGAGGUCGCCAUUUCCUUGCUGGUAGUCACCUGAGGACUGUUCCCAGAUUCUAGAGACUGCCUGCAUACCUUGGUUUAUGACCUUCCUCCUGCAUCUUCCAAGCCAGCAAUGGUAGGACCGUUCAGUAUUCUUGAGAAACACUGGCUAAUCUUCUAGUCGACAAAGUCACACCCAAGGAAAGCAUCAAACUUCUCUGAGGUCAGUAUUAUGUUGGAAUGUGCAGAGGCUGUUCCAUAAAGAUCUUUAUGUGCCCGGCAAGCUGCAG
rnacentral:sRNA from 1 species